rnacentral:rRNA from 1 species
CAGACGGGUGAGUAACGCGUGGGAACGUACCUUUCGCUACGGAAUAGCACCGGGAAACUGGUGGUAAUACCGUAUACGCCCUCCGGGGGAAAGAUUUAUCGGCGAAAGAUCGGCCCGCGUUGGAUUAGCUAGUUGGUGAGGUAAUGGCUCACAAAGGCGACGAUCCAUAGCUGGUCUGAGAGGAUGAUCAGCCACACUGGGACUGAGACACGGCCCAGACUCCUACGGGAGGCAGCAGUGGGGAAUCUUGCACAAUGGGCGAAAGCCUGAUGCAGCCAUGCCGCGUGAAUGAUGAAGGCCUUAGGGUUGUAAAAUUCUUUCGUCAGGGAUGAUAAUGACCGUACCUGAAGAAGAAGCCCCGGCUAACUUCGUGCCAGCAGCCGCGGUAAUACGAAGGGGGCUAGCGUUGUUCGGAAUUACUGGGCGUAAAGCGCACGUAGGCGGAUUCUUAAGUCAGGUGUGAAAUCCCGGGGCUCAACCUCGGAACUGCAUUUGAAACUGGGGAUCUUGAGAUCAGGAGAGGUUAGCGGAAUACCGAGUGUAGAGGUGAAAUUCGUAGAUAUUCGGUGGAACACCAGUGGCGAAGGCGGCUAACUGGACUGAUACUGACGCUGAGGUGCGAAAGUGUGGGGAGCAAACAGGAUUAGAUACCCUGGUAGUCCACACCGUAAACGAUGAGAGCUAGUUGUUGGCAGGCAUGCCUGUCGGUGACGCA